UCUAACUCAUAAACCAAAUAAGCAGCUGUAACAACGAUGAACAUGUAAACAACAAAGAUCGAGCCCUGGUCCGGACCCAGCGUACCCGCCCAACCAUGAGACAAUCACCUACUCGUCUCCCACAUUUUGCCAUUAGAUGGCCAUCAGCCUGUGCCGGCUGUUAUGCCAACUCUCCCCAUCAAAGAAAAUUUAGCCGGGCAUUUCUCUCUUCAGAUACGGCAUAUAAUUGGUUGCAUUUCUUAUCGUUAUUAACAUUUAAUCUUAUUUCUUAUUCCCCUGCAGGUUAUCUUCAAGCUGUUAUUUAUAAUUUCGUGCUCGGCAACAUUUCCGGCAUUUUUAACCAGUUGCAUACGAUAAAAUACAUUUUUUGUUGGCGACCUUCAUACAAUACCGGAAACCAAUAAAAAAACGGCCAGAAGUUAUUGCCAGUCAACAAAGGAAAGGAAAACAAGGGGAGAAAUAUAAACACAGACGCAAUAAUUUUGGGCCCUUUCAUUCCCGGUUCGCACUUUCGGAAAUUUACUUAAUUUAAAUUAGUCGUGAGGAGGCACGAAAUGGAACAGACUCACUCGGAUGAUAUGGGCGUGGUCUCGCCCGUGGCCGCCGCAAAAAA